GUGGGUAGAAAAUAUAUAGAGAAUAAAAAACCAUUUAAAGUUAAAAUGUAUAGGAUAAAUAAGUAACGUAUGGAAAAAUUCUUUACAGAAAGACUAUGAACACGACAAGGACUGGAAAUUCACCAAAAAAGGGAAAAAUCACGUAGAGGACCGUGCAAACAGACCUGGAAAACACGAGGUCGGAAUGGUCAAAGCAAUGGCGUAACCACCAUUCCAAGGAAACAUUAUACAAAUAUAGAGCAAUGGAAGACUUCUAGGAAAACAAAUCUAUGAUCCGACGAAGUCAAACACUAAAUAACGAGUCAAAG